rnacentral:rRNA from 1 species
GACGAACGCUGGCGGCGGGCUUAACACAUGCAAGUCGAACGGCAGGGCCCUGCUAUCGUGAGGUGCUCGAGUGGCGAGCGAGUGAGUAAGGCGUGCGUAACCUGCCCUUCACUUUCGGGUGACUUCCGGGAGCUAGGGCUAAUACCGGAUCGGAACUCCAGCUGCGUGGUGGGAGUUGGUAAUUUUGGGCGGUUGGGGAUGGACUCGCGGCUUAUCAGCUUGUUGGUGGGGUAGUGGCUUACCAAGGCUUUGACGGGUAGCCGGCGUGAGAGGGGGACCGGCCACAUGGGGACUGAGAUACGGCCCAGACUCCUACGGGAGGCAGCAGUAGGGAAUAUUGCACAAUGGGCGGAAGCCGGAUGCAGCAACGCCGCGUGCGGGAUGACGGCCUUCGGGUUGUAAACCGCUUUCGCCUGUGACGAAGCGUGAGUGACGGUAAUGUAUAAAGAAGCACCGGCUAACUACGUG